rnacentral:rRNA from 1 species
CCUACGGGAGGCAGCAGUGAGGAAUAUUGGUCAAUGGGCGCGAGCCUGAACCAGCCAAGUCGCGUGAGGGAAGACGGUCCUAUGGAUUGUAAACCUCUUUUGUCGGGGAGCAAAAGACGCCACGCGUGGCGUUCCGAGCGGACCCGACGAAAAAGCAUCGGCUAACUCCGUGCCAGCAGCCGCGGUAAUACGGAGGAUGCGGGCGUUAUCCGGAUGUAUGGGGUUUAAAGGGUGCGCGGGCGGAAACUCAAGUCAGCGGUAAAAUUGAGAGGCUCAACCUCUUCGAGCAGUUGAAACUGGUUUGCGUGAGUGAGUGAGAGGGAUGCGGAAUGCGUGGUGUAGCGGUGAAAUGCAUAGAUAUCACGCAGAACUCCGAUGGCGAAGGCAGCAUACCGGAGCUCAACUGACGCUCAUGCACGAAAGUGUGGGUAUCGAACAGGAUUAGAUACCCGUGUAGUC